rnacentral:rRNA from 1 species
CUACACACGUGCUACAAUGGUUGGUACAGCGAGUUGCGAGUCGGUGACGGCGAGCUAAUCUCUUAAAGCCAAUCUCAGUUCGGAUUGUAGGCUGCAACUCGCCUACAUGAAGUCGGAAUCGCUAGUAAUCGCGGAUCAGCACGCCGCGGUGGAAUAACGUUCCCGGGCCCGUU